rnacentral:rRNA from 1 species
GUGGGGAAUAUUGGACAAUGGGCGCAAGCCUGAUCCAGCCAUGCCGCGUGAGUGAUGAAGGCCUUAGGGUUGUAAAGCUCUUUCAGUGGGGACGAUAAUGACGGUACCCACAGAAGAAGCCCCGGCUAACUUCGUGCCAGCAGCCGCGGUAAUACGAAGGGGGCUAGCGUUGUUCGGAUUUACUGGGCGUAAAGCGCACGUAGGCGGGUCGUUAAGUCGGGGGUGAAAUCCUGGAGCUCAACUCCAGAACUGCCUUCGAUACUGGCGACCUAGAGUCCGGAAGAGGUGAGUGGAACUCCUAGUGUAGAGGUGGAAUUCGUAGAUAUUAGGAAGAACACCAGUGGCGAAGGCGGCUCACUGGUCCGGUACUGACGCUGAGGUGCGAAAGCGUGGGGAGCAAACAGGAUUAGAAACCCGGGUAGUCC